rnacentral:miRNA from 1 species
AGAACCGGGACUGGAAGGAGG